CUGUGAAACAAGAUACAGGCUAGCGGCGGACGGGUGAGUAACACGUGGGUAACCUGCCCAAGAGAUCGGGAUAACACCUGGAAACAGAUGCUAAUACCGGAUAACAACAGAUGAUGCCUAUCAAUUGUUUAAAAGAUGGUUCUGCUAUCACUCUUGGAUGGACCUGCGGUGCAUUAGCUAGUUGGUAGGGUAACGGCCUACCAAGGCGAUGAUGCAUAGCCGAGUUGGGAGACUGAUCGGCCACAUUGGGACUGAGACACGGCCCAAACUCCUACGGGAGGCAGCAGUAGGGAAUCUUCCACAAUGGACGCAAGUCUGAUGGAGCAACGCCGCGUGAGUGAAGGAGGGUUUCGGCUCGUAAAGCUCUGUUGUUGGUGAAGAAGGACAGGGGUAGUAACUGACCUUUGUUUGACGGU
rnacentral:rRNA from 1 species